GGUGUCGGCUGAAUCAGAGAUUGGCUGACACAAAUUAAAAAACUAUUUUGUAUUAGGAAUGAGUUAUGUCUCUGAAUGCAGAAACUAAAGCAGCAAUCGUUGCUGAAUACGCGCAAGGUCAA
rfam:Photobacterium damselae subsp. piscicida DI21 genomic scaffold scaffold00001, whole genome shotgun sequence.